rnacentral:rRNA from 1 species
CGGAGGAAAAGAAACCAACAGGGAUUGCCUCAGUAACGGCGAGUGAAGCGGCAAAAGCUCAAAUUUUAAAGCUGGCAUCUUCGGUGUCCGCGUUGUAAUUUUGUGAGGCAUCUCCGGGUAGGGCGCCGGCCUAAGUUCCUUGGAACAGGACGUCACAGAGGGUGAGAAUCCCGUGCUUGGCUGGCUGUCCCCGUCCAUGUGAGGUGUCUUCGACGAGUCGAGUUGUUUGGGAAUGCAGCUCAAAAUGGGUGGUAAAUUUCAUCUAAAGCUAAAUAUUGGUGGGAGACCGAUAGCGCACAAGUAGAGUGAUCGAAAGAUGAAAAGCACUUUGAAAAUAGAGUUAAAAAGUACGUGAAAUUGUUGAAAGGGAAGCGCUUGAGAUCAGACUUCGGUAGGGGGUGAUCAGCCGUCCUUCUGGGCGGUGCACUUGCCCCUCUCCGGGCCAGCAUCGGUUGAGGCGGCGGGAUAAAGGUCCCGGGAAUGUGGCUCCUUCGCGGGAGUGUUAUAGCCCGGGUGAAUGCCGCCAGUCUCGACCGAGGACCGCACCCGCAAGGGUUAGGAUGCUUGGCAUAAUGGUCUUCAGCGACCCGUCU